ACGUUCCUAUGAUGCGUUGUGAAUAUAAGGUAAUAUUUUUUUUUUAACAAAAUGCAUUUCGGACUAUAUAACUCAGCGGAAGGAUAUUGCAGUAAAAGAAAAGGGCUAUGCGGCUCACUACGGGGUCUCCCGAAAGCCCCUGCAUAUGAGGACACCGGAAGUUCCGUCCACAGUUCUGGGACACUGCUUUCCCAUUGGCUGCAUUCCAGGAAGUGAAGUGUCAUGGGUCUCGCCGCUAGUAGUCGUAAGUGGGCCAGCGGUGUACCAGGUGUUUUCCAGAAACUAGUGUCGGGGCGGUGAGAGGGAGAAUGGGAUUGCGGGAGUCGAGCUGCUGCCGCCCGGGAUCGAGAGGAGCCAGCUGAGGUGUCCUGGGCCUGUGGUGAGGACGCACCCUGGCCGUCUCCUGCGCACGGCCAGGCUCGCUGGAGGGAGUAGGUCUCUCAGGGAAUCCCCCAGGAGCAGCUGGAGACUGUUGCUAGGGAAAAAGGGGUCUAGUCUGCCCUGCCCUGCGCAGCCUGUUAGCACUGCAGCCCUUCACCAGGAAUAAGCAGAUGAUGAUGAUGUUUUUUAUCAAUAAUUACUAUACUAAAGGGAACAGAACCUUUAAAUCGCAGGAGACCUCCUCUCAUUUGUAACUGUUAUUAUGUUGUUUAAGUUUUCACUCUCCAGAGUGAAGGGAAACCUUUCUUCAGUGCUUUUCUAGUUUACAAUGUUUUUAAAUAUCAUAACAGUCAUAUAAAUUAAUAAUAAUAAUUAUACAUUAAAGAUGUUUUUAACUAUUUUGAUUAAAGCUCAAAAGCACAGGUCUUUCAAAACACACUGAAAAUAAGGUCAAAGUGUGAAAUGAAAAGCUUUUGUUUUGUGUGGAUUUUAGAGUUCCUUUAGAAAUAAAGGACAACAACUUUGGUA